AUCGUCAUUGCUGCGGUUAAAAAGCUCGUAGUUGGAUCUGCGCCGCAGCACCCGGUCCGUCCAUUGGACGCGAACUGGGCUGCUCGGCUCUGCGCAGUCGGUUUUCCGUGCGCGUGCGUUUGCGCGUGCGCGUGCGGUGGCCGGCGAGUUUACCUUGAAAAAAUUAGAGUGCUCAAAGCGGGCUGACGCCUGAAUACUCGUGCAUGGAAUAAUGGAAUAGGAUCUCGGUUCUAUUUUGUUGGUUUUCUGAUCUGAGAUAAUGGUUAAGAGGGACGGACGGGGGCAUUCGUAUCGCUGCGUGAGAGGUGAAAUUCUUGGACCGUAGCGAGACGCCCGACUGCGAAAGCAUUUGCCAAGAAUGUCUUCAUUAAUCAAGAACGAAAGUCAGAGGUUCGAAGGCGAUCAGAUACCGCCCUAGUUCUGACCGUAAACGAUACCAACUAGCGUUCCGUCGGUGGUAAAUACGCCUUGACGGGCAGCUUCCCGGAAACGAAAGUCUUUCGGUUCCGGGGGAAGUAUGGUUGCAAAGCUGAAACUUAAAGAAAUUGACGGAAGGGCACCACCAGGAGUGGAGCCUGCGGCUUAAUUUGACUCAACACGGGAAAACUCACCUGGCCCGGACACCGUGAGGAUUGACAGAUUGAGAGCUCUUUCUUGAUUCGGUGGUUGGUGGUGCAUGGCCGUUCUUAGUUGGUGGAGUGAUUUGUCUGGUUUAUUCCGAUAACGAGCGAGACUCUAGCCUACUAAAUAGUCACCGGAUGAGCGUGUCCGGUGAGACUUCUUAGAGGGACAAGCGGUGCUUAGCCGCAUGAAGUUGAGCAAUAACAGGUCUGUGAUGCCCUUAGAUGUCCAGGGCUGCACGCGCGCUACACUGGAGGAAUCAGCGUGUCGUAACCAUUGCCGAGAGGCGCUGGUAACCCCUUGAAAAUCCUCCGUGAUCGGGAUCGGGAAUUGCAAUUAUUUCCCUUGAACGAGGAAUUCCUAGUAAGUGUGAGUCAUCAGCUCACGUUGAUUACGUCCCUGCCCUUUGUACACACCGCCCGUCGCUGCCCGGAACUGAGCCGUUUCGAGAAAUGCAGGGACCGCUGUUUCGCCGGCGCACAUUGGGUGUCGGCGAUUCUCUGGUGGAAAGCGCCUUAAUCGCGAUGGCUUGAACCGGGCAAAAGUCGUAACAAGGUUUCC
rnacentral:rRNA from 1 species